AUGAUUCCAUCCAGUCGAAGGAUAUCAGUUUGAUACUUUCAACCUUCUGACAAAUGGAUCAAUGGCAUACAGUAAUAGCACAGAAGAACCUGAACCUAUUCAGGAGCAGGAUGACACACCAGCUUCACCUUGCCUCUCUGCAAGUGAGCAGCCUGCAGCUGGGGUUCCUUCUGGUCGUAGAAACCCACCGGGGGGUAAAUCCUCUCUCAUCUUCGGCUAAGGAUUUGCCUCACUUAAAGAUAAGGUCCGGGCCUAUGUGAAACGAGCAUCUCAGAGUAAAUGUGCUGUUCUGUGGUCAGUGCCCAUCCUCUGCAUAACUGUAUUCAUAAAAUGACAUAAGCCACAAAGAACAGAUUAAGAUCAGGACAAUUUAGACAGAGAAGCGUGCCACAAAUCUCUGAGCUGUGAUUUGUUCAAAGGAUGUCUUUGAAUGUGUUAAGUGUUGGUCUCUCAGUCUUAUCUUGACUAAGAUCAGACCCUUAAGGAAAAACAGAUCCCGGGUGUGCCCUGCUACUCUCAGAUACUGCAAAUCAUAGGCCAAAAUUUGCCAUCAAAGUUCUCCCAGUCAGGGUUUUUUUUAUAUUCACGUUAGCCUAAGAAAUGUCUCCCUGACUCAGUGUUUGUCUCUCUCUUUUUUGUGUUAUGUUUUUGUCAGCACUUUAUGAACUGUGGUGCCCAAUUUGUGGUGCCUCAGGCUUGCUGGUUUAGAGACAAGGUUUGAAUUAUUCCAUGUCACAUCCAUCAUUGCCAAAAAAAAAUUUUGAUGUAAAGAAAAAAGUAUAAACCUUGACUUACUGAUCGCGGAAGAGAUAUUUAUUACAACAGAACAAAAACACAAUUAAAUCAAUAAAUACAAUUCAGAGAUAAAAGAACAACAAACAUGAGGGUGCAAUGAAACAUUACCCUCUAGUCAAUAACAGGUGUGCUGGAAAAGGUGCAUGUGAGCAAACUGUUAUGUGUUUG